UCUCCCUCUAAUUCUCCUUGUGCAACAUGUGUUCUUCUCCUCACUCAUAGGCUACAUCUUAGGCCCAUUACCAUUUCCCUGUAUCCUCUUUCCUUUCUUCUGUACACUUGCAUAAUGGGCCUACUAUUUUCUCAGAAAAUUUCUGAGAUCAUUUUGGCAAGAACUUCUCAGGGUCAUUGCUGGAUUAUGGAUUUGUCUAUUCUGGAAAAUUGGGCCAACUUGUUGAUGUUCUAUCAGAGGUGUCUCCUUCUCCUUUGACUUUUAGUGCCAUGAAAGUCCAAACAUUAUCUUGAAUUGUAUAUAUUGUGAUGUGAUUGUGAUGAGUUUCUAUAAUUUCGUGAAACAGUUUUUGUUUUUGCUUCA